rnacentral:misc_RNA from 1 species
UUUCCGUAGGUGAGCCUGCGGAAGGAUCAUUCAUAAUAAGUGUUUUAUGGCACUUUUUUAAAUCCAUAUCCACCUUGUGUGCAAUGUCAGGGUUGAUUUUUCUCUCGAGAGGAUCAACCCCAAACAUCAACUAUAUCUCAACUCUUUGUCUGAAAAAUAUUAUGAAUAAAACAAUUCAAAAUACAACUUUCAACAAUGGAUCUCUUGGCUCUC